UCGAAAGGAUCAAAUGCUCAAUUCUCUGCGUCCUGCCGCAACGCCUCCGUGACCCGCUUCCUGUAGG
rnacentral:sRNA from 1 species